UCUAAUACCGGAUACCACUCCUGCCCGCAUGGGUGGGGGUUGAAAGCUCCGGCGGUGAAGGAUGAGCCCGCGGCCUAUCAGCUUGUUGGUGGGGUAAUGGCCCACCAAGGCGACGACGGG
rnacentral:rRNA from 1 species